UGCCCAAGGAGGAUAAUGGUAACUUGUUACGCCAAACAGACUCAAAGUCUCCCUCUAGAGUGUAAACAGAGAGCUUCAGAGAGAAGCCACCCAACAGAAACCAGGAGCAGGAAUAAGAAAGCAUCAAGAUGCAGAGGACGCAGGAGAAGCAGCAUCUGCACGAUGGGCAGAGGACAGAGGAGAACCAUGGACAGCCUACUUGACUCCUUUAGUGACAAAUUCUCAGAAAUUUUCAGAACUCUGGACAAGGUCUUCCCAGUGAUUCCCAAGGAACCCCUA
rnacentral:lncRNA from 1 species